rnacentral:rRNA from 1 species
GAGUGGCGAACUGGUGAGUAACACGUGGGAAACCUGCCCAGAAGCGGGGGAUAACACCUGGAAACAGAUGCUAAUACCGCAUAACAACUUGGACCGCAUGGUCCGAGUUUGAAAGAUGGCUUCGGCUAUCACUUUUGGAUGGUCCCGCGGCGUAUUAGCUAGAUGGUGRGGUAACGGCUCACCAUGGCAAUGAUACGUAGCCGACCUGAGAGGGUAAUCGGCCACAUUGGGACUGAGACACGGCCCAAACUCCUACGGGAGGCAGCAGUAGGGAAUCUUCCACAAUGGACGAAAGUCUGAUGGAGCAACGCCGCGUGAGUGAAGAAGGGUUUCGGCUCGUAAAACUCUGUUGUUAAAGAAGAACAUAUCUGAGAGUAACUGUUCAGGUAUUGACGGUAUUUAACCAGAAAGCCACGGCUAACUACGUGCCAGCAGCCGCGGUAAUACGUAGGUGGCAAGCGUUGUCCGGAUUUAUUGGGCGUAAAGCGAGCGCAGGCGGUUUUUUAAGUCUGAUGUGAAAGCCUUCGGCUCAACCGAAGAAGUGCAUCGGAAACUGGGAAACUUGAGUGCAGAAGAGGACAGUGGAACUCCAUGUGUAGCGGUGAAAUGCGUAGAUAUAUGGAAGAACACCAGUGGCGAAGGCGGCUGUCUGGUCUGUAACUGACGCUGAGGCUCGAAAGUAUGGGUAGCAAACAGGAUUAGAUACCCUGGUAGUCCAUACCGUAAACGAUGAAUGCUAAGUGUUGGAGGGUUUCCGCCCUUCAGUGCUGCAGCUAACGCAUUAAGCAUUCCGCCUGGGGAGUACGGCCGCAAGGCUGAAACUCAAAGGAAUUGACGGGGGCCCGCACAAGCGGUGGAGCAUGUGGUUUAAUUCGAAGCUACGCGAAGAACCUUACCAGGUCUUGACAUACUAUGCAAAUCUAAGAGAUUAGACGUUCCCUUCGGGGACAUGGAUACAGGUGGUGCAUGGUUGUCGUCAGCUCGUGUCGUGAGAUGUUGGGUUAAGUCCCGCAACGAGCGCAACCCUUAUUAUCAGUUGCCAGCAUUAAGUUGGGCACUCUGGUGAGACUGCCGGUGACAAACCGGAGGAAGGUGGGGAUGACGUCAAAUCAUCAUGCCCCUUAUGACCUGGGCUACACACGUGCUACAAUGGAUGGUACAACGAGUUGCGAACUCGCGAGAGUAAGCUAAUCUCUUAAAGCCAUUCUCAGUUCGGAUUGUAGGCUGCAACUCGCCUACAUGAAGUCGGAAUCGCUAGUAAUCGCGGAUCAGCAUGCCGCGGUGAAUACGUUCCCGGGCCUUGUACACACCGCCCGUCACACCAUGAGAGUUUGUAACACCCAAAGUCGGUGGGGUAACCUUUUAGGAACCAGCCGCCUAA